rnacentral:lncRNA from 1 species
AGCACAGCCACCACCAAGUUGCUAUCAGACAUCUCCCAGAUCACUGUAAUAUAUUCAGCUUAAAUUUUAAUAGUUUCUCUUUCCACAUUAGUAUAUCUGGUCUGAGGUUCGUUCAGAUAUCCACUGACCAGAAAGGUCACACUCAGGCCUGUUGGGAUUGUUGAGUCACCAACUCCACAUAGCUUGAUAAUCCUAAGAGAGUAUCUAAACAGUGUGAUGAGGCAUCUCCAGCAUCAGUGUAUUUCAGCAGAGAGCUUUCCUUGAAUGAAUUCAUCCAGUCCUCCCCACUGAGAAACAUCACGUUAUCUGUCCCAGCCUGGAGCCUGUAGUAAUUUAGCUGCCAUCUCAAAGGCAUUCAGGACUCACAGUUCACAGCUAGCACAGCCAGCUUAUCCCAGGGGGUUUAGUAAAACCCAAGGCCAUAGCUUUAGGCAGUCUUUGGUUAUAUUCAGCCUGGAGAGAAAGGAGAUAUUGGAUAUUCCUGUGAAGGACACAGUUUUCUGAGAUGAAAAUGAACAGUACAGAUACAACAGCUUGGAAGUAAAGAAUAAGAAAGCUUGUUUCACCAUGUGGCUGCAACAAGUUCAGCUUUUUAGCUUAAAGAAAGAAUGUGCUUUUGACCCUCCCUAUUGUUCCCAUUCUCCAUACUUGGCUAUGCCAGAGCAUAAAAUCCUCUCAGAGUGCAAGAGGCAGAUCCCUUAAUUUGAAAAUAAGGUGAAAGAUAUUCUCCAGGCCAGCAACUAUUUUGCUCCAACAGUUAAAAAGCAUCUUAUCCUGAGGAUCAAGUUAGAGUUGUUCUAAAAACCACGCAAAGAAUCCAGGAUGGCUAUUAGGUCCUUAACACAAAUGGUUUUUUUCCAACUACAAUCAUCAAUAGGAUAAUCUGGUACUCUUGUUGCACCACCUCACUUGCAAAUGCAGACAUAGGCAGAAGCUGUCUAUGUCUCUAAGAAGCACAUACAAAUGUUCAAGUUCAUUGCCUCUACAUGACAGUUUGUCUUUCAGAACAUCAAUGAUUUCUCCAGUAUCUAUGAAUCUGGGGAUUGUUCUUCAGUGCAUAAAUUGCAGUAAGAAGAUGUAUGUGAAAUUUCUAUCAUCAAGGAUCCUUAAAAAACUCUCUGAAAACAAGGUGAAUAUAUCUGGAAAAUGCUUCUUGGAGCUAUAUGCAGCCCCUGGCACAGUAAGAUGUAUUUGGAUGAAUAUUAAAACAGUGCACCUAUUCCCUUUCCUGGAACUCAUCAAUCUACUUCUCCACCAAAUUCGAGAUGUCUACUUCCAAAUGGACCACUCCUUCCAUUCCUGUCCACUAAUCAGAUCUGCAGCACACACUAGAUGAGAGGAGAAGUCAGUAAUUUCUCAGAAGCAUGCCUUACAACUUAGAGCUGGUACAGAAACAUCAGGGAAGGAAUGGCAAAUUUGCAGCUGUUUAAUGUGAAGAUCAAAAAGCAAUGGCUUGAAGUACGACAUUAGCAAUUUUGGAAUUGCCUUCUGAUUGUGUCUUGAUGAUAGAAGAUCAAAUAUAGUCCAUUUGUGAAUGAAAAACGUUUUUUUUCUCAUUACUGGUAGCUACAGUUCAUGGACAUAGGGAGCAG